CGAAUGCUGACAUAAGUAACGAUAAAGCGGGUGAAAAGCCCGCUCGCCGGAAGACCAAGGGUUCCUGUCCAACGUUAAUCGGGGCAGGGUGAGUCGACCCCUAAGGCGAGGCCGAAAGGCGUAGUCGAUGGGAAACAGGUUAAUAUUCCUGUACUUGGUGUUACUGCGAAGGGGGGACGGAGAAGGCUAUGUUGGCCGGGCGACGGUUGUCCCGGUUUAAGCGUGUAGGCUGGUUUUCCAGGCAAAUCCGGAAAAUCAAGGCUGAGGCGUGAUGACGAGGCACUACGGUGCUGAAGCAACAAAUGCCCUGCUUCCAGGAAAAGCCUCUAAGCAUCAGGUAACAUCAAAUCGUACCCCAAACCGACACAGGUGGUCAGGUAGAGAAUACCAAGGCGCUUGAGAGAACUCGGGUGAAGGAACUAGGCAAAAUGGUGCCGUAACUUCGGGAGAAGGCACGCUGAUAUGUAGGUGAAGCGACUUGCUCGUGGAGCUGAAAUCAGUCGAAGAUACCAGCUGGCUGCAACUGUUUAUUAAAAACACAGCACUGUGCAAACACGAAAGUGGACGUAUACGGUGUGACGCCUGCCCGGUGCCGGAAGGUUAAUUGAUGGGGUUAGCGGUAACGCGAAGCUCUUGAUCGAAGCCCCGGUAAACGGCGGCCGUAACUAUAACGGUCCUAAGGUAGCGAAAUUCCUUGUCGGGUAAGUUCCGACCUGCACGAAUGGCGUAAUGAUGGCCAGGCUGUCUCCACCCGAGACUCAGUGAAAUUGAACUCGCUGUGAAGAUGCAGUGUACCCGCGGCAAGACGGAAAGACCCCGUGAACCUUUACUAUAGCUUGACACUGAACAUUGAGCCUUGAUGUGUAGGAUAGGUGGGAGGCUUUGAAGUGUGGACGCCAGUCUGCAUGGAGCCGACCUUGAAAUACCACCCUUUAAUGUUUGAUGUUCUAACGUUGGCCCCUGAUCGGGGUUGCGGACAGUGUCUGGUGGGUAGUUUGACUGGGGCGGUCUCCUCCUAAAGAGUAACGGAGGAGCACGAAGGUUGGCUAAUCCUGGUCGGACAUCAGGAGGUUAGUGCAAUGGCAUAAGCCAGCUUGACUGCGAGCGUGACGGCGCGAGCAGGUGCGAAAGCAGGUCAUAGUGAUCCGGUGGUUCUGAAUGGAAGGGCCAUCGCUCAACGGAUAAAAGGUACUCCGGGGAUAACAGGCUGAUACCGCCCAAGAGUUCAUAUCGACGGCGGUGUUUGGCACCUCGAUGUCGGCUCAU
rnacentral:rRNA from 1 species